GACGGAGGAUGCAAGUGUUAUCCGGAAUCACUGGGCGUAAAGCGUCUGUAGGUGGUCAAAUAAGUCAACUGUUAAAUCUUGAGGCUCAACCUCAAAAUCGCAGUCGAAACUAUUAGACUAGAGUAUAGUAGGGGUAAAGGGAAUUUCCAGUGGAGCGGUGAAAUGCGUAGAGAUUGGAAAGAACACCGAUGGCGAAGGCACUCUACUGGACCACAACUGACACUCAGGGACGAAAGCUAGGGGAGCGAAUGGG
rnacentral:rRNA from 1 species